GACGAACGCUGGCGGCGUGCUUAACACAUGCAAGUCGAACGGGAACCUUUAUUUCGGUAAAGGUGAGAGUGGCAAACGGGUGAGUAACACGUAGGCAACCUGCCGACAGGAUGGGGACAACAUUCCGAAAGGAAUGCUAAUACCGAAUGGAGUCCGAGGAUGGCAUCAUCCUUGGAUAAAAGAUGGCCUCUGAAUAUGCUAUCGCCUGUCGAUGGGCCUGCGUCUGAUUAGCCAGUUGGCGGGGUAACGGCCCACCAAAGCGACGAUCAGUAGCCGGUCUGAGAGGAUGAACGGCCACAUUGGGACUGAGACACGGCCCAGACUCCUACGGGAGGCAGCAGUGGGGAAUCUUCCACAAUGGGCGAAAGCCUGAUGGAGCAACGCCGCGUGAGUGAAGAAGGUCUUCGGAUCGUAAAGCUCUGUUGCACGGGACGAAAACUGGGUUGGAAAACAU
rnacentral:rRNA from 1 species